rnacentral:rRNA from 1 species
AACGUAGGACACAAGCGUUAUCCGGAUUUACUGGGCGUAAAGCGCGUGUAGGUGGUUUUAUAAGUCACUGUUGAAAGCUCCCGGCUAAACUGGGAGAGGUGCGGUGAGACUGUAGAGCUAGAGUUUGGGAGAGGGGUGCGGAAUUCCGGGUGUAGUGGUGAAAUGCGUAGAGAUCCGGAGGAACACCAGAGGCGAAGGCGGCACCCUGGCCUAAUACUGACACUGAGACGCGAAAGCAUGGGGAGCGAACGGG